AAUAAUUAUUAUUGGUACUUUAUACAAUUUUAUUUCAAUAUCUAGAAAAAAAUUCAAAAAUAAAGAUAUUUUCAAAUGAUGAAUCUUUUAUUCUGUGUAACAUGAGUGUGUACAUUCACGUUCUUAUCAGAUCUAUAAAUACAAUUUUUUUCUUUGGUGUCAGUAAUGGUAGUGUUGUAUCGAUUUUAUAAUUAUUUUAUUAAGCACCUCUGGCACGUACAACAGUCAUCGCGAGCAAAUCGAGCACGUCGUGUCGCUUAUAGACACUCUAUGUACAAUACUACCGUUGACUUUCCGGGUCUCCAGUGGCCGCGUUACCUUGAACCGGGUCGACCGCGUGCCGUCUUCGUCGCGUAUAACAUAAAUAUAUACCGUGGCACGUUUCGCGAAAUUUCUGCAAACGCAUCAGCGAUAUUACGUAAUUACACGUCGACGGCAGUCUCGCGCCUUGCAAUCCUGUCACGCGCAAUGUCGCGCCUCAUUUCUCUCCACCUUGAGAAAGGUAGUUUCAUGUAAUGUCUUUUCUUCAAAUUAUCUUCAGUUAUCUUUCAUUUUCUUAGCAAGAUGUCUUAUGUUACAAGAUCUUAUUCUACAAUAAGGAUGAAUAAAUCAAGAACCAUCGCACGGUUUUCUUCUCCGAGUGACACGAGAGAUUUCACGUUAACUUCGUGCAAUCGUCACUUAUUUAAUUGUAAAAUGCUAAAGUAAGAAAAUAUGCUUUGUCGCGCUUUCUAAUAAGUAAAUCGAAGAUACCCAGUUGGAAGAAAAGAUAUUAAAUAAUAAUAAUAAUAAUCUUUAUUCUCUUCAACAUUAAAAUAGCCAAGGAGGGGACUUGGUUUACAAUUUCUAACACAUUCAUCCGUCCAUCCAUGCAUAUUAAAUAUUAACCGAUCCGAACUAGUCCGUUCUCCUUCGGUUGCCAAUUCAAAAUUGGAUAAUGUUAAUAUAAAAGACACUCACUCAGAAAGGAUUUCUGAUACUAAGACAAAAAAUAUUCUUGACAUAUUUAAUCUUAUUGCAACCUCAUUGUAUAAAAAUAAAACAAGAUUAAGAUUAAAUCAGAAAUUUUUAUCUUCAGAUCGGUUUAUUCUUAAAUCUAAAAUGUCACAAGAUUGUCACAAAUUUACUAAAUCAUUCUAAGAAAAUUAAUAAGAUAGCAUCAAAAGUCAUUUUAUUCUAGAUUUAAGAACUUUCCAUUUAAGAAUAAAAUAUUCCCUCUUUGAUAAUAAAUAUGAUUGGCGCUAUAUCGAUUUUACGAUAGAUCGAAGGGUAAUAGCAUUAUAGAUCCAGAAAUCUUUUCUGUGGGUGCGGAAUUAAAUUAGAAUUACGUAAGAGAUCGAGGAACAAACUUUCUCUUUAAAACGUCGUGCGCGCGAAACCGUCGUCGAUAGUAUCGGGGGAGUAUUUUUAAUGCAUCCCCCAUUUGGCACGAGCCGAAGAAGAAGCUUCGUGGGCUCCCGCGGCGUGACAGAAAAAGACGCGCGAUGCAAAAUCGAUAGUCCCGGCCUUUAUGGGGUGCCUCACGGUUCGACGAGGGUCGUGGGAAAUCGCUGCGGAAUCGCGAACGUUAACGUAGGAGAGGAGGGUAUCGGCUUUGCCUCCUUUCUCGCUUUAGAAAAACUGCCAGAAACGUGCGCGCGAUUACGCGUCUCUCCUCCUCCUCCUCCUCCUCCUCCUCUUACGCAACAGUCCCACACGCAAUAAUACCUGACCGCAUUCCCGACCGAGAAACUGGGUUAUUAUACGUAUUUCCAGUCGCGCGCGACUCGAAAUGCAAACCGAGCGAAAAUGACAUUAUCGCGUUAUCGUGAAUAUUUCCGUGAGUAUUUGUUUCUCGUUCGGAAAGAGAAUUGUAUCGCGUUUAAACUGGAAAUCUUCAUUGAGACGGAAUUCAACAGCGCCAGGCGCAAGUUUCUCUUAUCUUAAUUAUUAUCUCGUGAUUCAGGUAGAAUUUCUUUUCAACUUAAUUUUAUAACAACUUUGUACGAAGAGAGAAUUUUCUUUUUACUCUUAAAAUCAUCGAAAUGGGAUAGUCGUGGGGCAACGUGGUUUUCGCGAACACAAUUUUACCGCAGUUUUAAUAAAAUUUUAGCAAACUGGUCUAUAUUGUAGAAUAGAAACAGUUUGGUUAAAUUUUAUUGGAAGUAGCAAACUUCUUCAAGGUUCAAUUUAUCUCGCUACUACCACGAAUUUUGCUCAGGUAAAAUUCUCCCCGAGCGAAUCCUGUCGGUGCCUCGCCAAUGAGCUCGGCUAAUAUUACGUCGCACGCGAGGAGAUCGGCCCUUCGGACUUCGUUCGGUGACUCGGGUUUGACUCGAGGCUGUCGUCGACGAGGCCGUACUCGUUUGUAGGAAUCACGCUGCAGAUAAUAUCGCCGCUGAUCCGGCUUUAAAACGCGCGACUGGCGACGACUUAGUUUAUUACAACGAGCCGCUUAUUCGCGCUCCGCGAGCCCGGCGCUCUUGAUUGACAAGCAAUCUACCCUCGUGUAAUCCUGCACUUCUUGAACGCAUCUCUUCUACGGCCCAGCUGUGCCCGAGCUAUGCUCGAGCUGUGCGAUGUUGAAACCAUUCGGCUACACGAUUAUGGUUUUAUCACGAAUUUUAUAUGGUUGCGGUUUAAUCCCUGUUUGUGUGAAGACCUAUGCAAUUGAGCUUUAUGAAGGAGAGGGAGGGGAGAGAAGGGGGUCCGCGUGGAAACUAGGUUGAGAGACGUCGCAUUCAUUGACACUGUUAUAGUUAUUGACAUUGGUCAAUAGGCGCGUAUUUGAGUUAGGGUGAGCUGAACAUCUCGAUCGAAUAU
rnacentral:lncRNA from 1 species